rnacentral:rRNA from 1 species
CCUACGGGGGGCAGCAGUAAGGAAUAUUGGUCAAUGGGCGGAAGCCUGAACCAGCCAUGCCGCGUGCAGGAUGACAGCCCUAUGGGUCGUAAACUGCUUUUGUACCAGAAUAAACCUAUUUUCGUGAAAAUAGCUGAAUGUAUGGUAAGAAUAAGGAUCGGCUAACUCCGUGCCAGCAGCCGCGGUAAUACGGAGGAUCCAAGCGUUAUCCGGAUUUAUUGGGUUUAAAGGGAGCGUAGGCGGCCUGUUAAGUCAGAGGUGAAAGACGGUAGCUCAACUAUCGCAGUGCCUUUGAUACUGACGGGCUUGAAUACAGAUGAGGUAGGCGGAAUGUGACAAGUAGCGGUGAAAUGCAUAGAUAUGUCACAGAACACCGAUUGCGAAGGCAGCUUACUAAACUGUGAUUGACGCUGAGGCUCGAAAGCGUGGGGAUCAAACAGGAUUAGAUACCCCAGUAGUC